rnacentral:rRNA from 1 species
UACACUCCUACGGGAGGCAGCAGUGGGGAAUUUUGGACAAUGGGCGAAAGCCUGAUCCAGCAAUGCCGCGUGCAGGAUGAAGGCCUUCGGGUUGUAAACUGCUUUUGUACGGAACGAAAAAGCUCCUUCUAAUACAGGGGGCCCAUGACGGUACCGUAAGAAUAAGCACCGGCUAACUACGUGCCAGCAGCCGCGGUAAUACGUAGGGUGCGAGCGUUAAUCGGAAUUACUGGGCGUAAAGCGUGCGCAGGCGGUUAUGUAAGACAGAUGUGAAAUCCCCGGGCUCAACCUGGGAACUGCAUUUGUGACUGCAUGGCUAGAGUGCGGUAGAGGGGGAUGGAAUUCCGCGUGUAGCAGUGAAAUGCGUAGAUAUGCGGAGGAACACCGAUGGCGAAGGCAAUCCCCUGGACCUGUACUGACGCUCAUGCACGAAAGCGUGGGGAGCAAACAGGAUUAGAAACCCCUGUAGUCC